rnacentral:rRNA from 1 species
UACAUGUGGGGCAAGCGUUGUUCGGAAUUACUGGGCCUAAAGGGUGCGUAGGCGGCUUUGCAAGUCGGGUGUGAAAUCCCCAGGCUUAACCUGGGAACUGCAUUCGAGACUGCAUUGCUAGAGUAUGGGAGAGGGAAGUGGAAUUUCCGGUGUAGCGGUGAAAUGCGUAGAUAUCGGAAGGAACAUCAGUGGCGAAAGCGACUUCCUGGACCAAUACUGACGCUCAUGUGCGAAAGCGUGGGGAGCAAACAGG